rnacentral:rRNA from 1 species
AGGUUUCCGUAGGUGAACCUGCGGAAGGAUCAUUAUCGUACAACAAGAGGCCCCGUGGUUGUCGCUGACCCCUUCAGGUCGUGCACGCCUCGAGCGGUCCUCACUUGCAUCCACCUCACCUUUUGUGCAUCACCGCGUGGGCUUCCGAGAAAACCGGGGGCCUGCGUUUCCUAUACAGACGCCCCUUUAAAGUGUAGAAUGGUCUUAUGCUUGCGAUCGCAUGCAAUUAAUACAACUUUCAACAACGGAUCUCUUGGCUCUCGCAUCGAUGAAGAACGCAGCGAAAUGCGAUACGUAAUGUGAAUUGCAGAAUUCAGUGAAUCAUCGAAUCUUUGAACGCACCUUGCACCCCUUGGUAUUCCGAGGGGUACACCCGUUUGAGUGUCAUGAAAUCCUCAACCCUUCUCCCUUUCUUCUUUGAUCGGGGGUUUUAAAGGGCUUGGACUUUGGAGGUUCUCUGCUGGCCUUUCCUUCAAAAGGCCUAGCUCCUCUUAAAUGAAUUAGCGGGGUCCCUUCUGUCGAUCCUUGAUGUGAUAAGGUUUCUCCUACAUCCGGGAUUUUGGCAUCUUAGGCCCGCUUCUAAUCGAAUGAAACCCUUUUGACCUCAAAUCGGGUGAGACUACCCGCUGAACUUAAGCAUAUAUCA